rnacentral:rRNA from 1 species
GUGGCAGUGCGGCAGCUACACAUGCAGUCGAGCGGUAACAGAUCCAGCUUGCUGGAUGCUGACGAGCGGCGGACGGGUGAGUAAUGCAUAGGAAUCUGCCCGAUAGUGGGGGAUAACCUGGGGAAACCCAGGCUAAUACCGCAUACGUCCUACGGGAGAAAGGGGGCUUCGGCUCCCGCUAUCGGAUGAGCCUAUGUCGGAUUAGCUAGUUGGUGAGGUAACGGCUCACCAAGGCCACGAUCCGUAGCUGGUCUGAGAGGAUGAUCAGCCACAUCGGGACUGAGACACGGCCCGAACUCCUACGGGAGGCAGCAGUGGGGAAUAUUGGACAAUGGGGGGAACCCUGAUCCAGCCAUGCCGCGUGUGUGAAGAAGGCCCUCGGGUUGUAAAGCACUUUCAGCGAGGAAGAACGCCUAGCGGUUAAUACCCGCUAGGAAAGACAUCACUCGCAGAAGAAGCACCGGCUAACUCCGUGCCAGCAGCCGCGGUAAUACGGAGGGUGCAAGCGUUAAUCGGAAUUACUGGGCGUAAAGCGCGCGUAGGUGGCUUGAUAAGCCGGUUGUGAAAGCCCCGGGCUCAACCUGGGAACGGCAUCCGGAACUGUCAAGCUAGAGUGCAGGAGAGGAAGGUAGAAUUCCCGGUGUAGCGGUGAAAUGCGUAGAGAUCGGGAGGAAUACCAGUGGCGAAGGCGGCCUUCUGGACUGACACUGACACUGAGGUGCGAAAGCGUGGGUAGCAAACAGGAUUAGAUUCCGGG